AGAGAAAAUGGGUAUAAGUAUUGU
rnacentral:siRNA from 1 species